AGUGAACGCUGGCGGUAGGCCUAACACAUGCAAGUCGAACGGCAGCACAGUAAGAGCUUGCUCUUACGGGUGGCGAGUGGCGGACGGGUGAGGAAUACAUCGGAAUCUACUUUUUCGUGGGGGAUAACGUAGGGAAACUUACGCUAAUACCGCAUACGACCUACGGGUGAAAGCAGGGGAUCUUCGCACCUUGCGCGAUUGAAUGAGCCGAUUUCGGAUUGGCUAGUUGGCGGGGUAAUGGCCCACCAAGGCGACGAUCCGUAGCUGGUCUGAGAGGAUGAUCAGCCACACUGGAACUGAGACACGGUCCAGACUCCUACGGGAGGCAGCAGUGGGGAAUAUUGGACAAUGGGCGCAAGCCUGAUCCAGCCAUACCGCGUGGGUGAAGAAGGCCUUCGGGUUGUAAAGCCCUUUUGUUGGGAAAGAAAAGCAGCAGGUUAAUACCCCGCUGUUCUGACGGUAACCAAAGAAUAAGCACCGGCUAACUUCGUG
rnacentral:rRNA from 1 species